UACAAGUGCUAGGGGUGCUCUUAAAUGAGCUGAGAAAGACGUCAUCUUAACUCUUUGAACCUGAAGUGGUUAGUACCAACGAAGGGAAGCCGUAUGUGAACACA
rnacentral:ncRNA from 1 species